rfam:Ornithorhynchus anatinus chromosome 7, whole genome shotgun sequence.
CCCCUCUCAGGGUCGCACCUGAGGAGUUUCCAGUACUCUACCGGUUUUGGCUACGGGAGGGAGAGUCAAGCAGAGGCCCAUCCAUUCCAUUCCUAGCUUGGACGGCGGCUAGCGAGCGGAAGGCAAUCCGCUACAAGU